rnacentral:rRNA from 1 species
UACGUAGGGGGCAAGCGUUGUCCGGAUUUAUUGGGCGUAAAGAGCGUGUAGGCGGCUUGGUAGGUCUUGCGUCAAAACCUGAGGCUCAACCUCAGUUCGCGUGGGAAACCACCUAACUAGAGUCCGGAAGAGGAGAACGGAAUUCCCAGUGUAGCGGUGAAAUGCGUAGAUAUCGGAAGGAACACCAGUGGCGAAAGCGGCUUCCUGGUCCAGCACCGACGUUCAGGCACGAAAGCGUGGGGAGCAAACAGG